rnacentral:rRNA from 1 species
UUAAGCGACUAAGCGUACACGGUGGAUGCCCUGGCAGUCAGAGGCGAUGAAGGACGUGCUAAUCUGCGAAAAGCGCCGGCGAGGUGAUAUGAACCUUUGACCCGGCGAUGUCCGAAUGGGGAAACCCAGUGUGAUUCGUCACACUAUCGUUAACUGAAUACAUAGGUUAACGAGGCGAACCGGGGGAACUGAAACAUCUAAGUACCCCGAGGAAAAGAAAUCAACCGAGAUUCCCCCAGUAGCGGCGAGCGAACGGGGAGCAGCCCAGAGUCUGAAUCAGCUUGUGUGUUAGUGGAACGGUCUGGAAAGUCCGACGGUACAGGGUGAUAGUCCCGUACACCAAAAUGCACAGGUUGUGAACUCGAAGAGUAGGGCGGGACACGUGGUAUCCUGUCUGAAUAUGGGGGGACCAUCCUCCAAGGCUAAAUACUCCUGACUGACCGAUAGUGAACCAGUACCGUGAGGGAAAGGCGAAAAGAACCCCGGCGAGGGGAGUGAAAAAGAACCUGAAACCGUGUACGUACAAGCAGUGGGAGCACCUUCGGGUGUGACUGCGUACCUUUUGUAUAAUGGGUCAGCGACUUAUAUUCUGUAGCAAGGUUAACCGUAUAGGGGAGCCGCAGGGAAACCGAGUCUUAACUGGGCGUUAAGUUGCAGGGUAUAGACCCGAAACCCGGUGAUCUAGCCAUGGGCAGGUUGAAGGUUGGGUAACACUAACUGGAGGACCGAACCGACUAAUGUUGAAAAAUUAGCGGAUGACUUGUGGCUGGGGGUGAAAGGCCAAUCAAACCGGGAGAUAGCUGGUUCUCCCCGAAAGCUAUUUAGGUAGCGCCUCGUGAACUCAUCUUCGGGGGUAGAGCACUGUUUCGGCUAGGGGGUCAUCCCGACUUACCAACCCGAUGCAAACUACGAAUACCGAAGAAUGUUAUCACGGGAGACACACGGCGGGUGCUAACGUCCGUCGUGAAGAGGGAAACAACCCAGACCGCCAGCUAAGGUCCCAAAGUCAUGGUUAAGUGGGAAACGAUGUGGGAAGGCACAGACAGCCAGGAUGUUGGCUUAGAAGCAGCCAUCAUUUAAAGAAAGCGUAAUAGCUCACUGGUCGAGUCGGCCUGCGCGGAAGAUGUAACGGGGCUAAACCAUGCACCGAAGCUGCGGCAGCGACACUAUGUGUUGUUGGGUAGGGGAGCGUUCUGUAAGCCUGCGAAGGUGGCCUGUGAGGGCUGCUGGAGGUAUCAGAAGUGCGAAUGCUGACAUAAGUAACGAUAAAGCGGGUGAAAAGCCCGCUCGCCGGAAGACCAAGGGUUCCUGUCCAACGUUAAUCGGGGCAGGGUGAGUCGACCCCUAAGGCGAGGCCGAAAGGCGUAGUCGAUGGGAAACAGGUUAAUAUUCCUGUACUUGGUGUUACUGCGAAGGGGGGACGGAGAAGGCUAUGUUAGCCGGGCGACGGUUGUCCCGGUUUAAGCAUGUAGGCGGAGGUUCCAGGUAAAUCCGGUACCUUUUAACGCUGAGGUGUGAUGACGAGGCACUACGGUGCUGAAGUAACAAAUGCCCUGCUUCCAGGAAAAGCCUCUAAGCAUCAGGUAACAUUAAAUCGUACCCCAAACCGACACAGGUGGUCAGGUAGAGAAUACCAAGGCGCUUGAGAGAACUCGGGUGAAGGAACUAGGCAAAAUGGUGCCGUAACUUCGGGAGAAGGCACGCUGGUGUGUAGGUGAAGUCCCUGCGGAUGGAGCUGAGACCAGUCGAAGAUACCAGCUGGCUGCAACUGUUUAUUAAAAACACAGCACUGUGCAAACACGAAAGUGGACGUAUACGGUGUGACGCCUGCCCGGUGCCGGAAGGUUAAUUGAUGGGGUUAUCCGUAAGGAGAAGCUCUUGAUCGAAGCCCCGGUAAACGGCGGCCGUAACUAUAACGGUCCUAAGGUAGCGAAAUUCCUUGUCGGGUAAGUUCCGACC